AACCUGGUUGAUCCUGCCAGUAGUCAUAUGUUUGUCUCAAAGAUUAAGCCAUGCAUGUCUCAGUAUAAGUCUUCACAUGGCGAAACUGCGAAUGGCUCAUUAAAACAGUUAUAGUCUAUUCGAUGGUCAACAGUUACACGGAUAACUGCGGUAAUUCUGGAGCUAAUACGUGCGUAAACGCCCGACUUCUCGGAAGGGCUGUACAUAUUAGAUACGGAACCAAUGCUCGCAAGAGUUUUUGGAUGAUUCAUAAUAUGCGAAUGGAGCGCAUGCCUUGUGGCGGCGCUAGGUCGUUCGAGUUUCCUGACCUAUCAGCUUUCGACGGUAAGGGUAUUGGCCUACCGUGG
rnacentral:rRNA from 1 species